rnacentral:rRNA from 1 species
GACGAACGCUGGCGGCGUGCUUAACACAUGCAAGUCGAGCGGUAAGGCCCUUUCGGGGGUACGACGAGCGGCGAACGGGUGAGUAACACGUGGGUGACCUGCCCUCAGCUCUGGGAUAAGCCUGGGAAACCGGGUCUAAUACCGGAUAUGACCUCAUGACGCAUGUUGUGGGGUGGAAAGCCUUGUGCGGCUGAGGAUGGGCCCGCGGCCUAUCAGCUUGUUGGUGGGGUGAUGGCCUACCAAGGCGACGACGGGUAGCCGGCCUGAGAGGGCGACCGGCCACACUGGGACUGAGACACGGCCCAGACUCCUACGGGAGGCAGCAGUGGGGAAUCUUGCGCAAUGGGCGAAAGCCUGACGCAGCGACGCCGCGUGAGGGAUGACGGCCUGG